AUCUAAACUGUGAAACUGCGAAUGGCUCAUUAAAUCAGUUAUCGUUUAUUUGAUAGUACCCUUUCACAUGGAUAACCGUGGAAAAGCUAGAGCUAAUACAUGCUAAAAACCCCGACUUCGGAAGGGGUGUAUUUAUUAGAUAAAAAACCAAUGCCCCUCGGGGCUCACUGGUGAUUCAUAAUAACUUAACGAAUCGCAUGGCCUUGCGCCGGCGAUGGUUCAUUCAAAUUUCUGCCCUAUCAACUUUCGAUGGUAGGAUAGUGGCCUACCAUGGUAUCAACGGGUAACGGGGAAUUAGGGUUCUAUUCCGGAGAGGGAGCCUGAGAAACGGCUACCACAUCCAAGGAAGGCAGCAGGCGCGCAAAUUACCCAAUCCCGACACGGGGAGGUAGUGACAAUAAAUACUGAUACAGGGCUCUUUCGGGUCUUGUAAUUGGAAUGAGAACAAUUUAAAUACCUUAACGAGGAACAAUUGGAGGGCAAGUCUGGUGCCAGCAGCCGCGGUAAUUCCAGCUCCAAUAGCGUAUAUUAAAGUUGUUGCAGUUAAAAAGCUCGUAGUUGAACCUUGGGCCUGGCUGGCCGGUCCGCCUCACCGCGUGCACUGGUCCGGCCGGGCCUUUCCUUCUGGGGAACUGCAUGCCCUUCACUGGGUGUGUCAGGGAACCAGGACUUUUACUUUGAAAAAAUUAGAGUGUUCAAAGCAGGCCUUUGCUCGAAUACAUUAGCAUGGAAUAAUAGAAUAGGACGUGCGGCCCUAUUUUGUUGGUUUCUAGGACCGCCGUAAUGAUUAAUAGGGAUAGUCGGGGGCGUCAGUAUUCAAUUGUCAGAGGUGAAAUUCUUGGAUUUAUUGAAGACUAGCUACUGCGAAAGCAUUCGCCAAGGAUGUUUUCAUUAAUCAGUGAACGAAAGUUAGGGGAUCGAAGACGAUCAGAUACCGUCGUAGUCUUAACCGUAAACUAUGCCGACUAGGGAUCGGACGAUGUUAUUAUUUUGACUCGUUCGGCACCUUACGAGAAAUCAAAGUCU
rnacentral:rRNA from 1 species